rnacentral:lncRNA from 1 species
CUUCUUUCUCUGGGUAUCUUUAACUGCCUUCCACCUCCGGAAAAGGAUCGAACACCAUCUUUCAGAGAUGAUUGCAUCUUACAGAUGAAAGACAGGAAUGUACCUGGUUUGUCUCUCCCUGAUGCUGAGGAAACACAGGCCCAGAUGGAAAGUGGCUUGCCCAAUCCCACACAGCAAGGCAGAGAUGGAUCCAUCCAGCUCUCUCCUCCCAGCCAGGGCUUAGCGACAACACAGCUACAGGGGCAUGAGAGGCUCAGAGGCCUGGUCCUCUGGCUGGUGGAGCCUUGGAGGCAGUAGUGAAGAUCCCUGGAAGAGGGAGGCCAUGAAGAGGGAUGCAGAUACCUGGCAAGCCCACCUCCCUUCUAUGCCACCUGCCAGCCUUCUCUGACAUUCCCAAACCAGGGACCAACACCGCCAAUCAGGGAAGAUUUACACGCAUUUAAUUAUAGAACCAGUUCAAGUCUCUGGAGGCUGGAUGUCCGGCCUUCACCCUGGCACAGUGGGCUGUGGGCUCUGCGGUCCAGUUGCUAGUCAGGAGACGUCCUGGUGGCCCCUGAUUCGUGUUCACGUUCACAUCACUGUUCCUGCGGUUCUCUACACAUUCACCUUGGUAUUAGCUCUCUUUGCCCCUGGUCCAGCAUACCUCUUCAGCUUCCAAGUAUGGGUCACCUUCCUUAUGUAAAUUUCCUCUUGGGACUGUAUUUUCUUUUAAAUAAAAA